CCGGGGUUCUGGCAGCAGGAUGGGGUGCAGGCAGUAAGGAGUGACCCUGCCCCACGUGGUCACAGCCUCAGCAACAGGAGGUCCAGGACACACGAGGAGUUACUGCACUUGGGCCUGUAGUCCUUAAUGUGGCAACAGUGCCCUGGGGAGUCUUUGGGAAGAUGAGUUGGGCACUGGGAGCAGAGAGCUGGGUGCAGGGUGGGCAUGGAGUCACCAUCAGCAGGAGGCUGCUGGGGGACUAGGGGAGUGCUCCACCCCACCCUAGGAGGAUGGGGUUCUGGAGCUGAGGACCACCGAGACUUGCAGGAAGCCCGGACAGCUCAAGGCCCCCAUCGACCAAUGGACUGAUCAAUACUUUGUCAGCUGAAGCUUCCUGGCAGGGGAGUGGUUCCCAGAACUGGGCUGUUAGGACUAGGGCAGGGACGCUGGGGACCUGGCUUCCUGGAUGUCCUGGCUGGUGGGUGGACCCAGGCCUCCUUCAAGUGGCUCUGACAAGAGCCUCAUCAAUUCAUUCAUAGCAGGCACAGUUGACACGUGAGCCCCUGGAGGUCUGGGGAUUAUGGAGUCUGGGCAGACACACGCCGGGGGCUGAGGAAUCACCCAGCAGCUGUUGGGCCCCAGGCUGUGGAGGGGUUUGCUCCAGCCCCAGGGAAGGAUGCAGCCUCCUGACCUCAUACCUGGCAGAGGCCACGCAGAGAACAGUAUGUGCACCCCUGGAUGCAGGGGAUGCAGGAAGGGAAUGGACCCUGUCCCCACCCCAAGGGAUAUCACAGGCCUGCAACUGGGAGCAUUAGUCAGACUGUGGACUGAAUCUGGUCCUCAUACUCAGAUGAGGAAACACGUGUUCGAGCCCAACGUGUUCAAGUAUACUUGGCUGAGGUCACAGGACUGGGAGGUGGUGGGUGCAAACCAGGUGUCCUGGAUCCAGAAUCUGUGCUUCAACCCGUUCGCACUAAUGCCACCAAGAUACCAUGAAGUUUUGCAACAAAAGCUGCAUUUCUCCCACGUGAGUGGUGGAUUGAGUUGUGGCUUCACCUGCUCUCUAAGCAGGACCUGUGCACCACCAGCUGCUUUCUGGACCACUUCAGACUGGGGCUGCCCUGUCGUACACGACAGUGAACUAGAGGGCAUGUGCUCAUGUAAACAGCUGGGCUGUUUGGUGGGGGGGUUGGGGCGGGGGGGUACUGCAGCCUGACCUCUGCUCCAGCCUCUGCCUUCCUUGGGGAAGUGGUUAAUUGGUUGGCCAGGUCAGAGGGUCACUUCUAGAAGCCCCUGGGACACGAUCAAUUUCUAUUCGGAAAGCCUUAACCUGCAGGAUGGACUGUGGGCCAGCUGUCACUUGUCAGGGUCACUGGCGAGUUACUUUGGCUGCAGAAGAAAGUGCCCUGAGCUCCAUCCUCAGCCACAUGGGGUCAAAGGCCCAGUAAAGAGACUCCCAGCCCAGUCUGCCCUCAAAUAGAAAUGCUUGUUACCAUGCCCUGCACUGUUGAGAAAGAAAAGUCAUGAAGACUAUAACCUAGCCGGCCACGUUAGUUUACAAAGCGGCUGGUCUGCAAAUGCCCACACAGGCUAAACAGUGAAAUAACAGCAAGUCUAAUAAGAUGUUCUGUAUUAUAUGAUAAAAUGUUUUCUAUAUGUAAAUCUCUGAGCAUGAUCACAAUGAAAUGAAGCCGUGGGGUGUUCGCACCUAAGCGCAAAGGACAGUGAGCAUGGGGGUGACAAAGGCAGACUGACACGUGAGCUGCAGUGACCUCACACUACACGAACAUGGCAGUGGGUGUGCCACAAGUUGGACAAUCUUCCCUCAAUGUCAAAGGUUGAUGCCAUCCUCAAACAUUCAGCACAUCUUGGCCGGGCGCAGUGGCUCAUGCCUAUAAUCUCAGGACUUUGAGAGGCCGAGGUGGAAGGGGGUGGAUCACCUGAGGUCAGGAGUUUGAGACCAGCCUGACCAACAUGGCACAACCCCAUCUCUACUAAAAAUACAAAAAUUAGCCAGGCAUGGUGGUGCAUGCCAGUAAUCCCAGCUACUUGGGAGGCUGAGGUAGGAAAAUUGAACCCGGGAGGCAGAGAUUGCAGUGAGCCGAGAUGGUGGCAUUGCACUCCAGCCUGGAGGACAAGAGUGAAACUCCAUCUCAAAAACAAAACAGAAAACUCAGCACAUCUUAAAAUCACAGGGAGAGGAUAAAAAGAAAAGC
rnacentral:lncRNA from 13 species